rnacentral:lncRNA from 1 species
AAAAAUUUUAGUUACCUCUAAUCUAUAUAUAAAAUACAGCAAAAAAAAAAAAAAAAAACCAAUUUUCAAGAAAAUAUUUUUCUGUGCGUAUUAUGUUUCAACUCCAAAUUUUGAAAGAUAUUUUUUAUCGUUUAACAUUUCUUGAACUAGAAUGAAAAAAUAAAAAUUUAUUCAUUCCUAAUUGAUUUUAUCUUUAUUUAAUGAUGAAAUUCCGACAUGAAUUGCACACGCGCACUUUUUAUGUACCUAUGUGAAGCUAUGUUGUUUACCAUUACGACUCACCAUCGCUAGGGGAAGAUAUAUCGUUCACGUGACGUUUUUGUUUCUCCCAUAGAGAAAGCUGUACGUGUCGAAUCUGUGUAUUCCUAAUCUGUGAUCAAGAAACAAAGUCGCAGCCAAAGUCAACUCAGUCAGUGCCUUCAGUCACUAUAAUAACAAAUAUGACCGUUUUGCACUGAUAGCGUCUAGAUGGCGCAAUCAGUGCAAAACGGCAUGCGAAUCUUCUCACUAAUCUUUGUUUAUUAAAUUUCUCUCAUUAUCGUUUAUUACAUGAAAAUUCCCCACUUAGAGAAUUAGUUUUACUACCAAGACAACUGAUUUAAAAGUAUUUUCCGAUUGACUGUGUUCAGAUAUUAAUGCCAUCAAAAUAGAAAAUGAAUUUUUUUAGCCUCUGAUGUAAGAUAGACUAAUUCGCUAUCGCUUUACAAAAAUUUCAUCUCCCAAUCGGUGUUGGUCCAGAAAUUAACCUGGUGAAGUGAUAACAAUUUGAUUGGGAAAUACUUUUUUAAAAUCGUUUUCUGAUGAAAUAUAUGAUUUUUAAGUAGAGUACAUCUGAAAAAGUUAAUUUUUAACCAAAAUUUCACCUCCCAAUUAAGAUUGAUCCAGAAACUGAUCUGAUGAACAGUGUUUGAUUGGGAGUGCGCUUUUUUUUGGCUCUUUUAAUUAAAAUUAACUCAUGUUUUUAGGUAUAGUGAAUCUAAAAAAUUAUACUUUUUAACUAAAAUUUGUCCCCCCAAAAUCUCAAUCUAUAAAAAUUAAAACAAUAAAAAUUAAAAUAUUUUUGGGAAAUGCUUAGUUUUUGCUUUUUUUUAGAUAAAAUUAGUCAAUUUCUUAGUAUAACAGAACCAAAAGACUUAACUUUUAUGCCUAAAUUUGCAUGCAGAAGUAAUAUUUUGAUAUUUAUGAAUUUUUACAAAGAAAAAAGCCGCAGAUUUCUAGUGGUAACAAAAAAUUUUGCAAACAGUGAAAAACAUCACGCUGUUUACAAUGGAACGAAAGAAAUGUGACACAGUUUGGACUUUUUUGGGAUUUCUUAAACAUCUUAACAAGCACAGAUCGAAAGAAUUAUACUCGUGGGAAGUUUUAUAAAGUGCUCGGCUAAGUGUUGUCCUCUUUUCGCUGUGUCGAAUUAACGUAUCGAAUGUCUGGAGUUUAUCAAACGUUCGAGAGAACUCAAAAGUCGUUUUUCUCGGCAUUCACGUAACACAGAUUAACGUUUCUUUUUUUAAAAAAACUUCCUAUUUUAUAUAAUCAAAUUCUACAAAAGCGACUAGAGAGAGAGCAAAAAUAUGUGUUAUGUGAAAGUAGGUUGCACAGUCGAGUUGCUUCCAGUCCCAACGGGUUUAGAGUAAAGAAGACCCGAGAGACGAACAAAUCUUGCAAGUCGUUUUUCUCUUAAGUGUCUUUAUAAAAGAAAAACCAAGUUUUUGGAAAUCUUUGUUUCGUCUUUCUUUUACGGAACUCGUCCCAGAGGAACGACGGACACAAUCUGGAGGGAGGUUCGAGUGGAGAAAGAGGACACGCCUGACCAGUCGGCCAGACAACGACUUCUUAGAAGUCGGCUAUUCUCUGUACGUCUGCGUUCCUGACCGUCUGGCUCGGAUCUUGCUGACCUACCCUAUGAUGUCAUACCUAUAGCCCCAGGGUCGCUGACCGAUACACCAUUUGUCUUCUGUUUAGUCAUCUGUUCAUCCGAACGUUUUGUGCAUUCGAAUACUAUUUUUGCCUUAAUCUAAAUUGUUUUAUGCGCAAGCAAGUUUAAUUUUCAACAAACAGCUCAAAAAAAUUCAUAAGCAAAAAGCAAAUCAAAAUUUUAGACUACAUCAAGGUCACGAAACUCUCAGCAACUUUUUUUUUUUUUUUAAGAAAUAUCUACACAUGAAAUAACACACCAG